CGGGGUGAGUAAUACAUAGGAAUCUGCCCAGUAGCGGGGGACAACUCGGAGAAAUCCGAGCUAAUACCGCAUACGCCCUACGGGGGAAAGCAGGGGAUCUUCGGACCUUGCACUAUUGGAUGAGCCUAUGUCAGAUUAGCUUGUUGGUGGGGUAACGGCCUACCAAGGCGACGAUCUGUAGCUGGUCUGAGAGGACGAUCAGCCACACUGGGACUGAGACACGGCCCAG
rnacentral:rRNA from 1 species